ensembl:lncRNA
CCCGCCGCGGCCCCAGCCCCCCACUCGGGUUCCGUCGCCACCCUCGUGUCUGUGCCCCCCGUGUAGACCGCCCUCUAUCGAGCCGCCCGUCCCCCGCGCCGGGAGUGCCCCUUUCUCCGGGAAGCCCUCCCAGACCGCGGACGCCCAUGCGCUCCGGGCCUCCCUGUCUGCGGGCCACUUUCAUUUUCUCUCCGGGCCUGAUGUGGCGUGAGGUUGACAGCGGGGUCCCCGCGAGUCUGGGGUGGCGCACACGCUCAGCCAGCCCGGGUGUCGGGGAGAGAGGAAAGUCUGUUCCCUCCCUCCCACAACAGGAAACGGGUCGCCCACGCCCCCAGCCCGCAGGGGCCGGGUCACCCCUUUCCAGACAGCGCGCCCCUCCAUUCCGCUGCCUCCCCGUCUUCCUAGAUGUGGGCAUAUGACGUGACUUCUCCAUACCUCGAUUUCCCCACCGAGGAAAUGGAAAUAAUAAGAGUACCCGCUCCACUGGGGGGCGUGAGGACGAAAUGAGUUCAUGCGUGAAGGCAGGCGGCCUGCGGCUUGGCCCAAGAGAAAACGCUUUCUAUGCUGGGGACACAGCAGUGAACCAGACAGACGAAUCUCCCCGCCCUCCCGGAGCUGACACUCUGGGGAGGCGACACGGAGCACAGAUAAAUAAAUGGGAUACUGUGUCAUGAAGGUGGACAAAGAGUUACGGGAUGGAGAGCCGGAAGGGGCCGUCAGACUGGAGGCUCGGUGACAGCGACCCUGAGGAGCUAACAUCUGAGCUGAGACCACCCCUCCCCCCACCCCAGGGCAUGAAGAAUCCAGGCGUGACAAGGUCUGAGGGAAAGGUGUUCCAGGCCAAAGGAACAGCCAGUGCAGGGGUCCGGAGAUUUCUCUGAGGCCCGAAGCGGUUUCCUUUCUCGCUGAAUUUCUUCUCGCCGCGCGUCCCCUCCAGCGUCCAGUUUCUCGUUUCAGCGCUCUCCGCGAUGGAGACGUCGCACCUUCGUUUCUGUUUUCCUUAGAAAGGCGAGAGGUUUCCGAGGAGCCCCUGCCGCCGCCUUGCCCUAGAUUCGGAGAGCCUCGCAGCUCGGCCCGUGAUCGCAUCUCUGCGGCUCCUCCCCCUUCACAGGCCGCCGCGAGCAAGAGGUUUAGGCCGAUUGCCCCGAAACGGGCAGGGCCGGCGCCCAGCAGGUCCCCCUGCGGGGACAGACGCUGACCCCGAGGGCACCUGCUGCCUGCCCGGUUCCGGCCCAGGCUCUCCGGAUUAAUAGCAGCAACGAAACAAUAGUCAACGACCAUAUCGACAGGCAUGACUGUAAGUGGAUGUGAGUCGUACGUCCCUCAGGGGUGGCUGUGGAGCAUGCUGGUUACAGAGACUUGCCCUGUGGGAGACAGACCCUCACGCCCAUUGUACAGAUGAGGACCCUGAGGCUGGAGAGCGAAGACUCCUCCCAAGGUUACCAGCCGGUGCGUGGAGGCCUCGAUGUCCACAUCUGUGGAGUGUGCUUCUGCAGACCCGUCCUCCCCCUGCUGGGAACACGGUCUGGGCCACAGGUGAGGAGCAGGCCUGAGCCCGGGGCUGCCCCCUGGCCAGGCAAUGGCUGCGACACUGGACUGAAUGUUUCCAGCCCCCCACAAAUUCACGUUGAAAUCCUUACCCCCAGGCGACGGUGUUAGGGGGGUGAAUGGGGCAGGAGGCAGAGGCCACAUGCAUGGGAUUAGUGCCCUUGUGAGAGAGACCCCAGAGGGCUCCCUCCAGCUCUGCCACGUGAGGUUACGGCUGGAAGGCACCGAUUGUGAACCAGAAUGGGGGGCGCUCACCAGUCACCGAAUCUGCCAGCGUCUCCAUCUCAGCCUUCCCAGUCUCCAAAACUGCGAGAAAUAGAUUGUGUUGUUUAUAAACUACUCAUAGCAGAAUUUCUACGGUAUUUUGUUAUAGCAACCCGUGUGGACUAAGACAGAAAACUGGUACCCAGACGUGGGGUGCUGCUGUAGUCAACACGCAUAACUGUGGAAGUGGCUUUGGAACUGGGUGCUGGGUAGAGGCUGGAGGAGUCUGGGGUGAUUGCUAGAAAACGUCUGCACUGCCAGGACGGACCCCUACGGGCCAUUCUGCUGAGGGCCCGGAGGAAGAGGAGCGCUGCAGACGAAGCUGGCCCAGGACAAGGGGAGAGGCCCGAGGCGGUUCGCGGAUCAUCGGGGCUUCCCUCCCAUCCCAGAAUGCAAGGGUCUGGGUGGCAGGACGAUUUCAAAGGAGGAGCCACCCCUGCUCGCUCUGCCCGGGUGGGUCCCGGUCAGCGCCCCCUCUGGCUCCAGCAGGCCCCCAGCGGCGUGGGCUGUGCCCCAAAGCUGUGCGGGCAUGGCUGCCUCCACCUAGAUUUUGCAGCAGCUGCCAGCUCACAACCCAGGCAAGGGGCCACGUUGAGGGUAGGGUCACCAGGGAGAGUCCCCACCAGAGUGGUGCCCAGCAAAGCCAGGGGGCGGACAGAACCUUGGGGGCCCAACCGCUGCCCAGCAGAGCUUCGAAGGCAGGAACGCCACCCCAAUGUGUCCAGAAGGCAGAACCCCACACCCCAGGGGCUCUGGAAAGCGGGACACAGCCCCAGCAUGCCUGGAGGACAGAGCAUCUGGCCAGAGGGGAUUAUUCUAGAGCCUGAAGGCUUUGGACUCCUCAGGACCUGCCACUCCUUUUUUCUUUUCCACCUCUGUCCUAUGCCCGUCCUCUCGCGGUUGCAUUCUGGAAGCGCACGUUUGAUUUCACAGCUGGAGAGGAAUCGGCCGCAGAAUGGCGGCACCUUGAGUCUCACUCACAACUGACUUAGAGAAGGCUUUGGGCAUUAGACUUCUGCGUUGAUGCUGGAAGGAACUAAGACUUUUGAGGCUCUUGGGAUGGAACGCAUUUUGCAUGUGUGAACUUUGG